UCUCUUGGAAUGGCUGUCGGGGAAGGUAAACCCUGCUAUAAUGCACCUAUUGGUUUAAUUUGUGCAUUAAUAGCUCUGAAAUCGUGCAGCAGUCACCAUCUUCCAGACUUUUUUGGAAUAACAAAUACCGGUGAAUUCCAGAGGCUGACUUCUCUAUAUGUCCUGCAUUCAAUUGUUCUUUUACCACAGAUGACAUUGAUCUAGCUUCUCCUGUGUUAGGGGCCAUUGAUCCACCCACACAGGUUUGUCACUGAGCCAUUCUAAUGGUAAGGCAUUGGGCGGAGGAGAAAUAUCAAUGACCCCCAUCAGAAAUCCUGACGUCCUAGCCCUUUACUGUUUUUCCAGUUAUUGAUAAUGGAUUAGGGUUUCCUUGUAGGAAUUUUCCUAAACCUUUUCUACUGUCAUAUCCCAUGUCCUUCACAUUUUAAAUCCUGGGUUACCAGAGUUUUCAUUUGUAAGUCUCAUAUCCCAUGCUGUAAGUCUCAACCCCAUAAAUUGAUGGCUGUAUUUGCAACAUAAGACUGGAAAGUACAUGACUGACCAUCCGGACCAAGACAAGGUAAAAUCUCAGUACUCUGUUGAACACUUUUAGCUGCUCCUACUCCCACUAGGGAUGUGGAGGUUAGUCUGAGAGUCGAUGCUGGGGGCCAGUCUUUACUGGAUAUUACUGACACAUCAGUUCCUGUGUCCAUUUGCCCAUAAAAUUUCUUUCCUUUAAUUAGUACUACACAGGUAGGUCUAUUAGGUGCUAUGGGUUGGGAAAGAUAGGUUUCCCAUGUAGUUGUGCUCCCAAACCCUUUAUUUCCUCAUUUCUCCUUUUGUGAAGAUGAGUGUAAUUUGCAGGGAAUAAGCAAUAGCUGAACAGUAUAUUCUCCUGGUUCAAAAACCCAAAGAUCUUGUGACAUUAAAACUACUUGAAUUUCUCCUUCAUAAUCGGAGUCAGUCACUCCUGGGACUACAGUGAUGCCUUGCAAGUUAAGGCAGCCUUUGCCUAAAAUUAGUCCCAUGUAUCCUCUUGGUAAAGGUCCCCAAAUGCCAGUGGGAAUUUUGAUAGGUUUGCCUCCACCAACUACUGUUAUUUCUCUGACUGGGAGAUCUAAUCCUGCACUUCCUGGUGUUCCUGGGGUGAGGGAAUCAAUGUUUCUCUUGGGACCCAUCCCUGAAAUGGGCUUGUGGUCUGAACUGAGAAUCCCCUCAUUGUUUGAGGGGCCUGGGUCCAGGCCACCUUCUCGUUUCCCAGCAGGAGGGGUGCCAUUCUGAUGAAGUCUUGAGUGGCACUGAUGAGCCCAGUGAUUUCCUUUGUUACAGCGAGGACAGAGUGCUGGCAUUUUUCUGCUGGGGGUGGGGGCACUGCAUUGUGAGGUCCUUUCUGUCCUGAGAUCUGGUGGCAUUCCUUUUUAAAAUGUCUGGUUUUUCCACAAGUACAACAUUUUCCCACUUUAGGGUUUGACCCUUGGCUCCUUUUAAAUUUGUCAACUACUAAAUUAGCCAUACUUCAGCUAACAUGGAAGAAAAUGCAGUUCCUACAUCCUAACAAGCUCUGAGAAAAUUUCCCAAGUCUUUUGUACACCUUACAGGUGCCAGUGCACAUUUACAAUCCAUGUUUGUGUUCUCAAAAACUAAAGUUAAGGUUAGCAUUUCUGUGGCAGUGGCAUGAGGAAUCUGACGCUUCACUGCCUCUUUUAAUCUUGCAAGAAAUUGUGCAUAGGGCUUCUACAACCCUUGCAUGAUAUGCAAAAAGGAUUGUACUGGGACUCCCUCUUCUGGAAUUGUGGCCCAGGCGCAAUUAGCAGCCUGUGAAUGCUGCUGAUAAGCAGCAGGUGGGAGUGCCAUUUGAUGUUCCAGGUCUGAGUAAGGGUCAUUACCCAGUCAUAUCCUCUGUAGCGUCUCUUUGGCAAGGCAUGAUUCUGUCUAGCCUGGUCUGCACGCAGUUCUUGCCAAUUUAAAUUCCAUGUCAGAUAUGCACUAGCAGACAAGUUUGUGCCAAAAGUUUUACAUCAAAAAGUAGAAGGCACGUAGCACUGAAUACAGAUUUUAGCAAUCCUAAAGUGAACGGGCUCUGCACUCCAUUGUUAACUACACUCAUUUUUAAUUCCUUCAACAACUAAACUCUAGUGGGGUAUUUUCAUGAAUAGACUGGUGUGGAUUGUUUGGAUCAGGCCUUAUGGAAAUAGGACAAGCAGAAGGUCCUAAGGGCUCUCCAGCUAUGGCAGCAGAGGGUAACAUUCUUCAUACUGGGGUCUCUAUUUCUGCUACUGAAAGAGGUGGUACAGAUGUUGCUGCAACUGGAGGGAGCAGUAAAAAACAAUUUUUAUCCUCCCUCUCCUGUUUUUUGUUUUCAAUGGGAUUUGUGGGUGGGACAAUGGAUUCCCCACUGCUCCAAUGCAUCACCUCAGUUCCUUGUGUUUUCUGCACUGCCAGCAUGAUAUACACAAUACGCUGAUACUCCUAGCAAUGUCUGAGUCAGAGAGGAGCUCUAAAUUGGGAAGUAAUGCAGGAAACAAGCCUUGUAAAAAUCAACUUGGAUUCACUUUUCAGUUACAUCUGAGUGAUCUACAGCUAUUUCAAGCUGAAAGGAAAAUUUCUGGGUGUAAGCAUUUUGAAAAACCCAUCAGUGACAAUUCCUCUGUUUCACCGCUUGAAAAAAUUUCUUCCAGUGUCAAAUCCCAUCUUUUAAAUAAAUAUAGAAAUAAUUUU
rnacentral:sRNA from 1 species